rnacentral:rRNA from 1 species
AUUGAACGCUGGCGGCAUGCCUUACACAUGCAAGUCGAACGGCAGCGGGGGAGAAGCUUGCUUUUCCUGCCGGCGAGUGGCGAACGGGUGAGUAAUACAUCGGAACGUGCCCUGUAGUGGGGGAUAACUAGUCGAAAGAUUAGCUAAUACCGCAUACGACCUGAGGGUGAAAGUGGGGGACCGCAAGGCCUCAUGCUAUAGGAGCGGCCGAUGUCUGAUUAGCUAGUUGGUGGGGUAAAGGCCUACCAAGGCGACGAUCAGUAGCUGGUCUGAGAGGACGAUCAGCCACACUGGGAAGGAGACACGGCCCGGACUCCUACGGGAGGCAGCAGUGGGGAAUUUUGGACAAUGGGCGAAAGCAUGAUCCAGCAAUGCCGCGUGUGUGAAGAAGGCCUUCGGGUUGUAAAGCACUUUUGUCCGGAAAGAAAUGGCUCUGGUUAAUACCUGGGGUCGAUGACGGUACCGGAAGAAUAAGGACCGGCUAACUACGUGCCAGCCGCCGCCGUAA